rnacentral:rRNA from 1 species
AGUGAACGCUGGCGGUAGGCCUAACACAUGCAAGUCGAACGGCAGCACAGUAAGAGCUUGCUCUUACGGGUGGCGAGUGGCGGACGGGUGAGGAAUACAUCGGAAUCUACUUUUUCGUGGGGGAUAACGUAGGGAAACUUACGCUAAUACCGCAUACGACCUACGGGUGAAAGCAGGGGAUCUUUGGACCUUGCGCGAUUGAAUGAGCCGAUGUCGGAUUAGCUAGUUGGCGGGGUAAAGGCCCACCAAGGCGACGAUCCGUAGCUGGUCUGAGAGGAUGAUCAGCCACACUGGAACUGAGACACGGUCCAGACGCCUACGGGAGGAAGCAGUGGGGAAUAUUGGACAAUGGGCGCAAGCCUGAUCCAGCCAUACCGCGUGGGUGAAGAAGGCCUUCGGGUUGUAAAGCCCUUUUGUUGGGAAAGAAAAGCAGCAGGUUAAUACCCCGCUGUUCUGACGGUACCCAAAGAAUAAGCACCGGCUAACUUCGUG